CCAGAUGUAGACUACAAUGGAGUGGUGUAUGGUAACGACUGGUGGGUGGGCUCUGUGGUGCGGUACACGUGUCGCUCUGGCUUCAUUCUGGUGGGAAGCCCAACCAGAACAUGCCAGCCUAAUGGCCUCUGGACCCCGAAACCUACCUGCCUCAGAAUGUGUCAGCGGGGACGCAUUGAAGUCAGCGAGAGGGAACUUAAUGGGACGUGUAACUCCACCUGCGCAUACAAGAGCUACUUUGGCCCACCCAAACAAGGCUGCACUCGGAUAGACAACUGUAAGAAGAAGGAGACUGGCUGGAAGCGGUUCUUUGCACAGUGUGUCCCUUGCAUUUGUGACUGCGCUUUAUCAUGUGCAUCUACAGGAUAAACUAUGGAGAAAACACUAUGUUGACUGUACAGUGAGACAUCAGAUGAAGACGAAAUACACAGACAGCUUGCACGCCGCAGAGCCACGCUAUGUUUUCGCUGCUUCAUCCCAUUGUGUGGACAAAUCAGCCGACCGAAAUCUGGAUGUUUUAAGACAUUAAUGUAAUCUCUCUGGCACAGCACACUAAAGCCAACAAUUUCUCCUUGGAUUUUAUAUACAUACAAGAUUUUACACUAUGACAAGAAGAUUUCAGUGCCUCAGGUUCAAAUCCCUCUGUGAGUCAGUGGUGAAUUAUAAGCAAAGCUUAGUCAAUCUGUGUGAUGUAGGGUGGUGAAAGGGUCAGCGAAGGAAAGUGAAGUGAAUUUUAAAACAGUC